UUUGAAGUUUAUGAAUGUGAUG
rnacentral:miRNA from 1 species